rnacentral:rRNA from 1 species
AGUGAACGCUGGCGGUAGGCCUAACACAUGCAAGUCGAACGGCAGCACAGUAAGAGCUUGCUCUUACGGGUGGCGAGUGGCGGACGGGUGAGGAAUACAUCGGAAUCUACUUUUUCGUGGGGGAUAACGUAGGGAAACUUACGCUAAUACCGCAUACGACCUACGGGUGAAAGCAGGGGACCUUCGGACCUUGCGCGAUUGAAUGAGCCGAUGUCGGAUUAGCUAGUUGGCGGGGUAAAGGCCCACCAAGGCGACGAUCCGUAGCUGGUCUGAGAGGAUGAUCAGCCACACUGGAACUGAGACACGGUCCAGACUCCUACGGGAGGCAGCAGUGGGGAAUAUUGGACAAAGGGCGCAAGCCUGAUCCAGCCAUACCGCGUGGGUGAAGAAGGCCUUCGGGUUGUAAAGCCCUUUUGUUGGGAAAGAAAAGCAGCAGGUUAAUACCCCGCUGUUCUGACGGUACCCAAAGAAUAAGCACCGGCUAACUUCGUG